rnacentral:rRNA from 1 species
AAUGGGGGAAACCCUGACGCAGCAACGCCGCGUGGGUGAUGAAGGCCUUCGGGUCGUAAAGCCCUGUCGGGAGGGAAGAAAUGAUUGAGAGCUAAUACCUCUUGAUCUUGACGGUACCUCCGAAGGAAGCACCGGCUAACUCCGUGCCAGCAGCCGCGGUAAUACGGAGGGUGCAAGCGUUGUUCGGAAUUAUUGGGCGUAAAGCGCGUGUAGGCGGUCUUUUAAGUAUGAUGUGAAAGCCCCGGGCUCAACCUGGGAAGUGCAUUGGGAACUGGGAGACUUGAGUACGGGAGAGGAGAGUGGAAUUCCUAGUGUAGGAGUGAAAUCCGUAGAUAUUAGGAGGAACACCGGUGGCGAAGGCGACUGUCUGGACUGACCCUGACGUUGAGGUGCGAAAGCGUGGGUAGCAAA